AAUAAUUAUUAGAUUCAUGAAUAUUGAAUAGAUGGGAAUGUGAACUGCAGUGUUACAUAGCUUAGUAUUUUUUUUCUUGUGCAGUCGUAUAAUGAAGUUGAAAGCACUUAGUUUUCUCCAAUCUAUAUUAUUUGAUUUAUCUGAAAACAUCCUUUAAUUCAACAAAUAAACGGUGAAAUGUGUGUGCAUUAUGGAGUAUACACUAAUCAACCCUAUGGCACCUUUUAAUUCUGUGUUCUUGUCAUAUAGAUUAUUUUUGUUGCCCCUGAGGUAGUUCCGAUAUGGUAUAAAUAUAAAUCACAUCAUGUCAAAUUAUAUACAAUUUCCUUUCAACAGAACAAAUGAAUGGAUAGUUGCAGAGAAGAAAUGGCUCAGGUUUUGGAUGUAAGCACAGCUUUUUUUAUUGAUGUGGAGGAGAGGACAGGGAUGAGUGCUGGUAUGAUGAAUCUGUCAGGAAGAGGGGCAGUCGAGAGGUGUUUUUUUAAUCAAGACAUUCAGCGAAGGGUAAUCUCUCACACACCCAACCUGGUCAGGACUCGUUUUAAGGGCGGAUUCACAAUCAUUAAGUCAAUUGAAUCAUUGAGAAGGAUUCAGACUAAGUGCUAGCUACAGCCAACCCAGUCAGCCAGAUUCAGAACAUGUGGUUGUGUGAAAAUGUCUUUACCUCUACUCACUGGAAGAUAUCGCUCUAAAUACAACCUGCAAAAACUGAAUAAACCCUUUCUGUAAUGUUAAUUUUCUUUAUCUUUAAGAUGUAAAUAAAGGUUGACAUCCAAAUGAAUAAAAGGAAAAUAAGGAAUAUGUAUAAUAUUACUUGAGGAUUACUUGAAAGGAUUAAGACAUUUAUUAAUUUGAUGUCUUCAACAGAGACUAAAUAGUUGAUACCCUUAUGUUCUCUUUACCAAGUUCAAUGAUGACCCAUGGUGAAUUUUGAAUAUAUAUUUUCUAUAAUAUACUGAACAUGUUGUGUUGGUAACAUGUUUCAUGAGCUAAAAUAAAAGAUCCCAGACAUGUUCCAUAUGCGC
rnacentral:lncRNA from 1 species